CAAACUUGAGAGUUUGAUCCUGGCUCAGAACGAACGCUGGCGGCAUGCCUAACACAUGCAAGUCGAACGAACCCUUCGGGGUGAGUGGCGCACGGGUGCGUAACGCGUGGGAACCUGCCUUUAGGUUCGGAAUAACAGUUAGAAAUGACUGCUAAUACCGGAUAAUGUCUUCGGACCAAAGAUUUAUCGCCUUUAGAUGGGCCCGCGUUAGAUUAGAUAGUUGGUGGGGUAAUGGCCUACCAAGUCGACGAUCUAUAGCUGGUCUGAGAGGAUGAUCAGCC
rnacentral:rRNA from 1 species